UAUUGUGUAAGGUACCAUAAAAAGAAGAAAACCCAGGAAUAGGAUUACAGUCACAAGAAUCAUGGAAUGAUGGUUACUGAGUGCUUCAGCCAUUUCUGCUUGGCAUUCCUUCCUGAUUAUGAAAUACAGACGGAGUGUGCCAGAGGGGAAGCACCACUACCACCACCACUCAGAUGGGACUCUGACUUUGCUCCCAUGAUGUGUUUUGCCUUAAGCUGAGCUGAGUCAAUCUGCGCAGGGUGAUUUGUGAGCGACCUCUUCAAUGUGAAGAAAAUGAUGACUAAAUCCUAAAUGCCCAGCCGGCGCCGCCUGAUGACUUUGCCUGUGAAGGGUAAUUGAUUGGCGGGGAUGAUCCCCUUCCAAGUCACCUGCUGAUGGAGCACAGAGUGACAGAGGUGGAGCGAUCUGCAGCCAGAGAGCAUUCAUG